rnacentral:rRNA from 1 species
UGGGGAAUUUUGGACAAUGGGGGAAACCCGUGAUCCAGCCAUCCCGCGUGUGCGAUGAAGGCCUUCGGGUUGUAAAGCACUUUUGGCAGGAAAGAAACGUCGCGGGUUAAUACCCCGCGAAACUGACGGUACCUGCAGAAUAAGCACCGGCUAACUACGUGCCAGCAGCCGCGGUAAUACGUAGGGUGCAAGCGUUAAUCGGAAUUACUGGGCGUAAAGCGUGCGCAGGCGGUUCGGAAAGAAAGAUGUGAAAUCCCAGAGCUUAACUUUGGAACUGCAUUUUUAACUACCGGGCUAGAGUGUGUCAGAGGGAGGUGGAAUUCCGCGUGUAGCAGUGAAAUGCGUAGAUAUGCGGAGGAACACCGAUGGCGAAGGCAGCCUCCUGGGAUAACACUGACGCUCAUGCACGAAAGCGUGGGGAGCAAACAGGAUUAGAUACCCUGGUAGUCCACGCCCUAAACGAUGUCAACUAGCUGUUGGGGCCUUCGGGCCUUGGUAGCGCAGCUAACGCGUGAAGUUGACCGCCUGGGGAGUACGGUCGCAAGAUUAAAAACUCAAAUGAAUUGACGGGGUCAUAGCUG